UCCUACGGGAGGCAGCAGUGGGGAAUAUUGGACAAUGGGGGGAACCCUGAUCCAGCCAUGCCGCGUGUGUGAAGAAGGCCUUAUGGUUGUAAAGCACUUUAAGCGAGGAGGAGGCUACUUUAGUUAAUACCUAGAGAUAGUGGACGUACUCGCAGAA
rnacentral:rRNA from 1 species